AACGCACCUUGCGCCCCUUGGUAUUCCGAGGAGCAUGCCUGUUUGAGUGUCAUGAAAUUAUCAACUGUUCUGAGUGUUAAUUGGAAUGAAGUUGGAUUUAUGGAGGAUUUUAUUGCUGGUGCCAUUUAUAUUGCUUGUCAGCUCCUCUUAAAUAUAUAUAUAUAUAUAUGUAUAGAUAUAUACUGGUUGACUUCUAUUCAGCAUGAUAAAGACUUUAUAUCUAUGUUGACUAGAGUCUACUUUUAUAUCAUCACAAUUUGACCUCAAAUCAGGUAGGAUUACCUGCUGAACUUAA
rnacentral:misc_RNA from 1 species